rnacentral:rRNA from 1 species
UCUACGGGAGGCAGCAGUGAGGAAUAUUGGUCAAUGGACGCAAGUCUGAACCAGCCAUGCCGCGUGCAGGAAGACGGCUCUAUGAGUUGUAAACUGCUUUUGUACGAGGGUAAACGCAGAUACGAGUAUCUGUCUGAGAGUAUCCUACGAAUAAGGAUCGGCUAACUCCGUGCCAGCAGCCGCGGUAAUACGGAGGAUUCAAGCGUUAUCCGGAUUUAUUGGGUUUAAAGGGUGCGUAGGCGGUCGGAUAAGUUAGAGGUGAAAUCCCGAGGCUCAACUUCGGAAUUGCCUCUGAUACUGUUCGACUAGAGAGUAGUUGCGGGAAGCGGAAUGGAUGGUGUAGCAGUGAAAUGCUUAGAGAUCAUACAGAACACCGAUUGCGAAGGCAGGUUACCAAGCUACUUCUGACGUUGAGGCACGAAAGCGUGGGGAGCAAACAGGAUUAGAUACCCGAGUAGUC